CAGCACUUUUAUUUUGUGAUGUGUGAAUUUUUGUAAAAGAAAAUUUGUUCAAAAUUCAAUUUGAAUGAAGCUUUAAAAAUUAGUUUGAAAAAAAAAGAAGAAAUCCAUCCCCCCGCUUUCGGCAAACUUGGCCCAAACCAGCCCAACGCCAGCACCCUCCUCUCCCCCUUCCUCUCUCUCACUGCCAGGCGGGGCCCGCCUGUCAUCCCUCUCCUCCCGCAACUGCUCCCUCCCUCUCUCUGUUCUCAGCACAACCGCCCGAGCCGCCCCGCUCCCACGUUCUUCACCCCUUCUUCCCCUGCGCCUCGGCUAUUUCGAACUGCACCCGCACCCGAGCCUUCAUCCGUGCCUCAAUUCGCUCUGCACUCGCCCCUGCCCCCGCUCGCUACGUGCAGUAGCCGUUGCAAGGACACCGCCGGCGACCUCUAUGCGAAAUCCAUCGGUCCAAGCCGUCCUCACCGUUUCUGUCGCGCUGGUGAGCUCUCCUACCUUCCCCGCAUUCUUCUCGGCCAAGUCCUAGGCUUUUGCGUGCCCCUAGCCUCCCGGCCGCGAGCUCCGGCGAGCUCCAUGGCCGCCGGCCAUGGAGCGUGUCGCUCGGGUCUCUCCCCGGCGGCGCUGAGGGCAUGGGUGUGUUCGCGUCGUCCUUCUCUCUCCCCCGGUGCUUUCGGAAUCGAAAACCGUGCACCGUAGCUCCCGAUCCAUUUGCGCCGGCGAGCUUUGGCCGGAAUCCAUGGCCACCGCCGUGUCUCUGCCCAGCGCCAGAAUCUGGCCGGUGUGCCACCCCCUCCCUCUUUCUCUUUUUUGUUCUUUUUUUUUCUUUUAAUCAAGCGCAUCCAAGCUUGAUCCAACGGCCAUGAUUAGAACUUACCCCUUCGCGGGGAUUUUUAUUAAAGAGCCACUCGACUUCAUAGAUAUAGAACCCGCAGUCCUCGGCCAACUCCAAAUCCAGAUUGAAAUUUGAUUUAAAUUUCAUUUUUGACUUCAAAUUAAUUACAGAAUUGCCACCGCAAUGUUUUGGCCAUAAAAUAUUCGUUUUAGCUCCGAUUUGUCCCGUACAAAUUGCGUUAGAUUCGUUUUCGCGAGAUCUACAUGUUAGUAAUCUUGGUUCAUCAGUUUGAAAUAUUUUAAUUUUGUGACCCUAUUUAAUUAAUUACUUUUCUAAAGAAAAUCUUAGAAAAUUCAUAUCUUCUCUAUUUUAGCUCCGAUUCGAUCCGUUCAAGUUGUGUUAGUUUCAUAAUUUUAUAAGCUUCGCGAUGGUAUCAUUGUUGCCUAGGUUCACCACUGUUAGAUUUCCUAGUUAAAUACAAGUCCGUAGAUAGCCUUUGCAGUCCCGUUUAAUGCGUAGAUUUCACGUCGUAACUUAGUUUUCCGUGAAUUUCCUGUUGACGUGAUCGUAGUAGCGUGUAGAUGAUUUUGGAAAACUUUUAUUAAAUUUAUUAACUGCUGGUGUACUGUUCUAAUUGCAAUCUUGUUUGCUUUGUGUAUGUCUGUCUUCGAUUGCUUGUGUGUUGAUGAUUGGUGACCGAGUUUAGUCACUGGGCAUUACUUCGGUGAUCAAGGUCAGAGCCGUGGAAGCAAGUAAGAUCAGCAGCACCAGCAGGAGCAAUUGGAUUAAGGCAAGUAUAGCAUUUGGGUUUUAAUUCUAUGACAAUGAUCUUGUGACUAGAUUAAUAUAAAGCAACAAAUGAUAAUAAUGACUUUUUAGCAACUUCAGGAUUUAUUCGUAAGUGAUAACUGUUGAUAUUUGGGAACGCAAUAAGGUAUUGAUCCGCAAGCGCACGGAAUUCGGUGAGCACUUCACCCGGGAGGUUAUCCAGAGUAUCGUAUUUAUUUUUUUACCACUAGGAGAAAGAGUGCAUCUGACUAACCGGUCUAUUACUACUAACCCUUUAGGCAACAAAGAAUGUCUCUCGAUGUGAGUGAUAAAUAGAGAAGACUACAACCGUAGUCUCCUUCUAACCUUGGUAAGGAUGAUCUACUGUUCUAUUGGGGAGGCUAACGGAAUCUAGACACCACAAAGGAUGUUCAACCCGCACCUAUAAACCCUAUCCUUACUGCUAACGAGAUAUGGUCUGCAAAGGUAACUCGAAAUUGUCACGUUCCUCACUACUACCACGGUCCAGUUAGGCAGGGAAUAUCUAUGAGUACCCCAGCCUAAACACCACGUUUACGCUAGCAAUGAUUACUCUAAACUCUACGCGAACAAAUUAAAGUAAACUCAUAAACCAGAAGAACAAUAAAACAAGAACUUACUAGAAUUUAGAAGUCAAAAUACUGAAGAAUCCUAGGAGCAAGCUUCGGGUUAGGAGAACUUGAUCCCGCAGGUACAAGCUUGGAGUAGACACCGACAGGCCGGGCUUCCUCCAAUCUACACCUCCACUCUAUCUCUCUCAAUCUAGUAGAAACUAGAAGAUCUAUUUCUACUUUACAUUGGUUGCUAUGCCUAAAAAGAAAUAUUAAUUAGAGAAGAGGUUUUCCUUCGAGGGCACCCCUCAAUCUCUAUGAUAAUUUCUUGUUUUCUCUACGGGCCAGGGGGGUCUCCUUAUAUAGUCCUCCUCCUCUAUGCGUUUUUGGGUCGGUAGGCGAGGUGGUACUACGUUAUCUUUGAUCCAUUAGGUCGGUGGAACAUCGUGUGCGAAGAGAGUCCUGAAUGGAGUCCAGCAGGGGGCGGGCGCCCUGGGCCUGGCCCCUUUCGGCCUCUGCCUUCUUCCCGUGGCUUCUGGAGUCUUCUAGAUGGUAGAAAAUCGCGCGGUGCGUUGAUAUCUCUAUGUAAUCCCGACAUGUGGGCCUUUCUUCCUUAUUUCCUGAUAACCCCCUGCAGAAACAGAUAAACAACAAAACUCGUGGAAUUAUGUCAGAUCAAACCCUAAUUCUAGGUGUUGGUUGCAUAUUGGUCCUUUCCCUUGUUUAUUUGAUAAUUAAAAUUGAUACUUAAGAACCGUCAACAAAUACCCCCAUACUUAGGCUUUUACUCGUCCUCGAGAAAAGGAUGGUUAAGAAUAAUAUCUAGGGUAAGACAUUUUAAAACAUUCUUUUCAUAACUGUCGGGUGUUAAAAUUCCACUGUGUAUUAUAGUCUGGGAAGUAUAUGGUUAAGAGUAAAGAUCCUUUCUUCUCAAUCUUGGCACUUGGAGUUGUUGUAAAUUUUUUAAAGAAAGUUAGCAUACCUUUUUAUCCUCAUAGGUUCUCUCAGAUCACUCAUUAUCUUUUAUAUAUCUCACUGAGGCUGUUUGCAAAAAAUUCUCAAGCAUACUUACUUUGCAUUUAUUGCCUGAUCAAAACGGGAUCCGAGGAGGGGAAUGUCAUACUCUUAGAUCAAAGACUUUGGAAAUUAAAAUCUUGUCAACUCUUGCUGGCAUAUUGCUUAUUAGAGGGACCAUGGGCUAUCAUUUUUUUCUCUCUCUUUUUUUUAAGUGGAUACCGAGGUACCCCUAAUUCUACUGUGGGACACUUGUCCAUUUUUCUGCGAGGUUGUCGAGCACUUGCUCCUUUUUAUUUCCUCGAAAUAUCUCUAUUUUUGCAUAGCCCAUGCCUCUAAUGCAAUAAUACUUUGGAAGAGUGAAUCUUUCUGAAUAAUGCCUUGAUCUUAGGAGCAUGAUAAAUCUCUCAACAAGGGUCUAACUCAUUUUGAACAAACUCAAUACAGAGUAGAUAGCUUUUAUAAUCAUAAUUAAUAUUUUCAGUUUUUAUCAGGCAUAUAAAACACUGAGGAUGGUAGCUAGAAUUUUGAAAUAAAUUCUCCAAGCAACAAUGAUAUCAAGAAUAAGAAACUCAUACUCUACCAUCUCACAUUCCAUACUGUCUUAAGUAACCUAGGGUUUUGAAAGGAUUUUAUAGUAGUUAUAAGUUUUAGAAAAUAUCACAGAGUGAGAUUAAUUAUGAUUAGAAAUAUUUUAAUCUUUUUAAUCAUGUCAGAAACAAUAUUUUGCAUAAUCCAAGAUAUGUGUACGUGUAAAGUAAAGUGUGCAGAGUGUGUACCCGAAUCGUGGAGUGGUGUGGUCGGAGUGUGUUUGGCAUGUUGAGGGAUCUCCCCCAUACUUGUUUUCUGCUUUCUUGCACAAAAAUAAAGUAGAGACACACAAGACAUAAUAAUAAUAAUACUCUUUAUUAAUCUUGAGGCAUUUAUGACAAAAGACUAGUAGCAAACUUAUAGCAAACUGAUGAUAAUAGUAAACCUAAACCGAAUUUAAAGAUAAAUGACUAAGAUGCAUUGCCUCAAGGUCUAAUCUAGAUAACUUAGCGGCGCUCUAAUUCCUUAAUCUUCUUGUUGGCACUAGCAAGAUCCUGCCUAAGGCCUAGUAUAAUGGUGUUGUGGUUAGAGAGCUGCCUAGUGAGGGAAUUAAUCGAGGACUGGAGGUCUAUGAUAACUCUGUCUAGUCUGCGAACGUCCUCAUCAAUAUCCAUUAUAGUCUUGCGACGCUUGGGAGGUGUCUCAAAAGUAUUGAGAGCAUGCUUCAGGGCUGCCUUUGGAGGGAUGAAACGGACUUUGGCUGCUCUAAUCCCUUCAAAGUAAGGCCUUUCCUCCUCCGUAGUGUAGCCAAUACUGCUGAUCUCGCCGCUCUGGUUGGUCUUGACUCCAACGACCCUCUCAUUGGGUCUAGGUGGAAGGAUUCUUGUGCCGGUUGACACCUUGAUGGUGGUCUUUGUCUUGGAUAAUGAUCCCUUUAGAAGUAGGGGUUGUGGCGGUGCGGUGAGAACUGGUUGAGCAUGGUAGGAUUGGGUGGAGCUGCGUUGGCGUAAUGGCAUGGCUUCUAGCUAUCGCUCUGUGUUGGCCGGGACGAGAGCACGGGCAUAGGGGUCUUCCACAGGCUCCAUGUUGAGGUUGAAGGGGACGACUUCCCAAUCAUCGUGGUACUUCUCGGCCAUUGGAGCAGCAAGGAACUAAUCAAGCUCUAAUUGAAGGAGAGAAGGCUUGGUGGCUUGGUGUUUGAAAACUGAGGUCAGGGGUCUGUUUAUAUAGGGGUCAAAAAGUGCCUCUAUGGGUUGUUCGGGUUGCUCCCGUCGAUGUGCGUGCGAAACUUUCCAUCUGAGGGAUUAUUCGGAUUACCAUAAGUGCAUUUUCCAUAACAGAGAAAAUCGGGACCGAGGGGGAACAGGAGUUGGGCGCCCGCCCACCUGAUCUGGGCGCCCGUCCUCUCUCUUUCCCCUCCGCGGGCCCACUUCCUCGAGCGCGUUUCUAGAUGCAGACUUAAUUAGGAAAAUAUAUGUAUGACCCGAAAACGUCAGACUAAAAAGGUCGGGCUCUAAUUCUCCAUGGGAAGGAAAAAAUGGACUACAUCUAUUUCUUCUAAUUCUUUAUUGGGCUCUAAAAAUAAUUUAAGACGUUGACCAUUUACCUUGAAUAACGUACCUUCGUCAUUUUGAAGUGUGAUAGCUCCGUGGGAUGAUGAAUUAAUUACCUUGAAUGGUCCUUCCCAUUUGCUCCGGAGUUUUCCAUGCCCGAAAAGCUUCACCCUGGAAUUAAAAAGUAAUACCUUAUCUCCGGGUGUAAACUCCUUCUUCUUGAUUCUCUUGUCAUGCCACCUUUUGACUCUUUCUUUGUAGAUCUUUGAGUUGUGAUAUGCCUUCUCUCGCCAUUCUUCCAAUUCUGAUAGUUGCAUUCUUCUAUAAUCUCCAGCAACAUCUAGGUCCAUAUUCCAUCUCUUUAUGGCCCAGUGUGCUUUGAACUCUAGUUCAACAGGUAGAUGGCAAAUCUUCCCGUACACCAAUUGGUAUGGAGACAUUCCAAUUGGGGUCUUGUAUGCUGUCCGGUAUGCCCAGAGUGCAUCGGGUAACUUGUCUUUCCACGCCGUUCCCAUUUCAUUUACUGUCUUCUGAAGAAUAUUCUUAAUUUGCUUGUUGGAAGUCUCUGCUUCACCACUUGUCUAAGGAUGAUAGGGGGUAGCAACGUUGUGACGGAUUCCAUGUUUUGAUAGAUAUUGCAUGAAGCGUUUAUCGAUGAAGUGUGCUCCUCCAUCACUUAUCACUACUCUGGGGACUCCAAAUCUUGGAAAUAUAAUUUCUUCAAACAUCCUCUUUGAACUGACGUUGUCGGCAUGCUUGCAAGGUAGUGCCUCUACCCACUUGGAUACGUAGUCAACUGCCACCAAGAUGUACUCACACUUCUUUGAUGGAGGAAAUGGACCCAUGUAGUCUAUUCCCCAGACAUCAAAGAGCUCAAUCUGAAGGUUGUUGGUGAGUGGCAUUGCAUCCCUUGUAUUUAUGUUUCCGUGUCUUUGACAUGGCCCACAUCUUCUGAUAUAUUGCUUCGUGUCUUCAUACAUUGUAGGCCAGUAGAAUCCACACUGCCAGAUCUUUGAAUGUGUACGGAAUGCUCCAUAGUGACCUCCAUAUGGUGAUGAAUGACAUCUGUCAAUGAUCUUCCAUCCUUCCUCAGUGGUCACACAUCUCCUGAGUAAGCCAUCAGAGCAUACUCGGAAGAGGUAUGGCUCAUCCCAUAUAUGUGAACGACUUUCUUAAAUAAGUUUCUUCUUAUUUGCUCCUGGUGGUACAUACCCUGAAACCAUAAAAUUGACAAUAUCUGCAUACCAGGGGUCAGACUUGUUAAUCCCGUAGAGCAUGUCGUCCCGGAGUGAAUCGUUGAUGGGGGUUUCCUGUGGACUCUUAAAAUACAUUCUAGACAAGUGAUCCGCAACAGAAUUUUCUACUCCCUUUUUAUCUUUUAUUUCUAAGUCAAAUUCUUGGAGUAAUAAGAUCCAUCUAAUCAGGCGCGGUUUAGCAUCUUUUUUAGUGAGCAAAUAUUUUAGUGCAGCAUGAUCAGUGUAAACAAUUAUUUUAGCUCCAACUAAAUAAGAUCUAAAUUUAUCAAUGGCAAAGACAACAGCCAAAAGCUCUUUUUCAGUGGUUGCAUAAUUAAGUUGAGCUCCUGUCAAAGUUUUACUAGCAUAAGCAAUUGCAUGAUGCUUCUUUAUUUUUAGUUUGUCCUAAAACUGCCCCCACAGCAUAAUCACUGGCAUCACACAUAAUUUCAAAAGGCAACGACAAUCAGGGGGUUGAAUGAUUGGUGCAGAGAUGAGUGCUUUCUUUAAUAAAUUGAAAGAUGUUAGACAUGCAUCAUCAAAUUCGAAAGGAGCAUCCUUGGCUAGCAAAAGAGUAAGUGGUCUAGCAAUAAAUGAAAAAUCUUUUAUGAAUCUACGAUAAAAACCAGCAUGGCCAAGAAAGCUUCGAAUUCCUUUUAUAUUCACAGGUGGAGGUAGUUGUUCAAUUACUUCAAUUUUAGCUUUAUCUACCUCAAUACCUCUUUCAGACACUAAGUGUCCCAGCACUAUUCCUUCCCUAACCAUAAAAUGACAUUUUUCCCAAUUAAGGACUAAGUGCUUUUCUUCACAUCUUUGCAAAACCUUGUCUAAGUUUUCAAGACAACUAUCAAAAGUUUUUCCAUAAACAGAGAAAUCAUCAAUGAAAACUUCCAUAAUCUCUUCAAUCAUAUCAGAAAAUAUAGACAUCAUGCAUCUUUGAAAAGAAGCUGGUGCAUUACAUAACCCAAAAGACAUUCUACGAUAAGCAUAAGUUCCAUAAGGGCAUGUAAAAGUGGUUUUGCUUUGAUCAUCGGGAUGGAUCGGGAUCUGAUGAUACCCUGAAUAUCCAUCUAAGAAAGAGAAGAACGAAUGGUUCGCUAACCGCUCUAGCAUCUCAUCUAUGAAAGGUAAAGGAAAGUGAUCCUUUCUCGUGGCUUUGUUUAAUUUUCUAUAGUCUAUGCACAUCCGCCAUCCUGUGACGGUGCGUUGCGGAAUUAGCUCAUUCUUUUCAUUCAUAAUAACAGUCAUGCCUCCCUUUUUAGGCACAACUUGAACUGGGCUCACCCACUCACUAUGCGGCACAGGAUAUAUAAUCCCUGCAUGCAGCAACUUUAUAACUUCCUUUUUAACUACCUCUCUCAUAGUGUUGUUAAGUCUACGUUAGGGUUCUCGAGAAGGUGAAACAGAAGGAUCUGUUGGAAUACGAUGGGUACAAAUCAUAGGACUGAUUCUUGUAAGAUCUUGGAGUGAGUAGCCGAAAACUGAGUGAUGUUUUUCAAGAGUGGUCAUUAAUCGCAGAGUUUGCUCCUGAGUGAGUUUAUCGCUAAUGAUCACAGGAAACUCUGGAUUAUUGUUUAAGAAAGCAUAGAUAAGACCGGGUGGUAAGGUUUCAAGCUCUAUGGGAGGUCUAGGUGUUUCUGCAAACUCAUCUAAGGGUUCAGGUUCAGAAGGUUCGGCUUCUUCUUCUAUGAAGAAAGGAGUUUCGUCUUCUAAGUCUGAUUCUUCUAAAUGCUCAAGAGAUGCAGCCUUUACCUCCUCUAUAGGAUCAGGCAAAAGAUAUGACUCGGCCUUAUUGUUUAAGGAGUGUGAAAUUGUUAUUGGGAAUUUUAAGUUUUUCCAAAAGAAAUGUGUAGCUUUCCAGUAUGACCUUCAUAGAGGAGUCUUCUAAAAGGUUGUCCUAUCAACAGGUCGAAGUCCCAUGUAUCAAAGAUAUAGAAGUUCAAAUGAACCAUGGAGCCUUCUACCGUAAGAGGUAGGACAUUAAUAAUUCUAAGACUGGGGACUAAUCGUCCCGAAGAUUCCUUUAUGACCUUUGUUGUGGGGGUUAAGACAACAUUUUUAAAUAGUUUAAGUGCAAAAGAUUCAGACAUGAUGUUGAUGCCCACAACAAGAUUAUAAAGAGCAUUAAAUCGAUCAGAAUUAUAAGCACAGCGUAUAGUUAUAGAGGGUGUGUCCAAACGGAUCACAUCAGAGGAAAGCUCUGAUUCCUCCAACCACUCGCUACUUAUUACUGAGAUAAGCUCUCUCAAUUGAUAUUCACUUGGUAAAUAAAUGCUAAACUGGCCGUUUUGGGGUUUGUCAAUAGAAUGGUAGUUUGAAAUGUUUCCGAAAUCAGCAAAAAGAUCGGAUUCUAUAUCCAUCAUGAAGUCUGGUGGUGGAAUUUCUUCCUCUUGUGGCUCAGAACUUGGGAUAGCUAAAGUAGAUAAAGAAUUUGGCAGAGUGUCUACUUCGGCUUCGUAGGUUUCAUCAUGAAGGGUAUUAUCCAUCUCAGCUUCUAGGAUUCUAUCUAGGAUCACUCUAGCUUCAUCAGUAGGGAUGCGAAAGAAAGAACCUCUAGACAUUGUGUGUAGCAUUUGUUUGUGAUUUUUCUGAAGACCUCGAAAAAAGUGAAAUAAAAGAACAGGAUCUUCAAGAUUAAGGUUUGGACCAGAUUCUAAAAGAUCAGAAAAAUGUUUCCAGGAUUUUCCCAAAGUUUCAUUAUCUUUUUGUUUAAAAGAUAGGACUUAGAGUCUAAGGUCGGCUAUACGGUCGAGGGAAUAUAAAUCUAGACAAAAGUUGGCUCGUAAAACUCCCCAUUCACCUCGUUGUUGACUUACCUUCUGACUGUACCAUUGUCUAGCUUCUCCCCUUAAGGAAAAAGGGAAAAGCUUCCAACGUAAAGUUUUAUCAGAAAUGCCUUCAAUGCGAAGACAAUCACAUGUUUGCUCAAAAUCUCUAAUGUGCAGGUAAGGGUUUUUUUCUUCCUUUUCCGAAAAAGAUAGGUUUUGAAUCAUGGCAAUCAACCUAGAACUUAACUUAUACUGAGAUGUUUGGAUAGGCUGUGAUGAUUCCCAUUGUAAAAGGUCAGUUACUGAAGGGAUUGCAGAUUCAUGGAUCGAUUUAGAAUUUUGGUUUUCCAUAAGGUAAGAGUAAAGAAAAUAAAUACAAAAUAUAAAAGAUAAGAAAAGAUAAAAGUAUAGAUACAAGCUAGUAGUAAGACUCAAGGUUAUCUCAGCAAACCGUCUUUCUCCCCGGCAACGACGCCAGAAAUGCUUGUUGAUAUUUGGGAACGCAAUAAGGAAUUGAUCCGCAAGCGCACGGAUAUCGGUGAGCACUUCACCCGGGAGGUUAUCCAGAGUAUCGUAUUUAUUUUUUUACCACUAGG
rnacentral:lncRNA from 1 species